rnacentral:rRNA from 1 species
UACGUAGGGUGCAAGCGUUGUCCGGAAUUAUUGGGCGUAAAGAGCUCGUAGGCGGCCUGUCGCGUCGGCUGUGAAAACCCGAGGCUCAACCUCGGGCCUGCAGUCGAUACGGGCAGGCUAGAGUUCGGUAGGGGAGACUGGAAUUCCUGGUGUAGCAGUGAAAUGCGCAGAUAUCAGGAGGAACACCGGUGGCGAAGGCGGGUCUCUGGGCCGUAACUGACGCUGAGGAGCGAAAGCGUGGGGAGCGAAUAGG